rnacentral:lncRNA from 1 species
UGAAGCUGAAGUCAAAUCAACUUGAAACUUAGUACACUUGUUGCUUAUGGUAUGAUCUUUCUAAUUUUAAAGCCAAAUUAGACUUUUGACCCAUUUUCACGGUCCACUGAACAUAGAAAAUGAAAGGGGGAGUUUCAGGUUAAAGUUUUUGGUCAAGGUAGUUUUUGGUGAAGCUGAAGUCCAAUCAACUUGAAACUUAGUACACUUGUUGCUUAUGAUAUGAUCUUUCUAAUUUUAAAGCGAAAUUAGACUUUUGACCCCAAUUUCACGGUCCACUGAACAUAGAAAAUGAAAGGGGGAGUUUUAGGUUAAAGUUUUUGGUCAAGGUAGUUUUUGAUGAAGCUGAAGUCCAAUCAACUUGAAACUUAGUACACUUGUUGCUUUUGAUAUGAUCUUUCUAAUUUUAAAGCCAAAUUAGACUUUUGAUCCCA